GUUGUCUCGCUGUGAAAAGCAGCAUAUGGGGGUGGGGACUUCAUUUCCCAUACUUCCUCUCAGUAGAAGAACCAGAAGUCCGUAAUUCAAAUUCUACCGCGGAAGCAUCCUUUGUGUUGAUCUUCAAUACAGUUCGGUAAAUUGAAGCUUUAUUUAAAUCUAAACUAACAGAUUUUGCUACCUACUCGAUUGGCUUUUUUGUUCAUAUGCAAAAGUUUAUCCACGAUUGCAGAUUUGUUGGACGUUGUGCUUGCAGUCUGGAGUAAAAUAAAGAAAAAAAAGAACACGACAGUAGCGCAUCUUGUGGAACAGCAGACUCAUCUCCAGUCAAAGAUAGACUUCCUGCAGAGGCAAACAAAAAGGAAAACAAAGUACUUGAUCUUGGAGUGGAUGUGAAGACACAGUCUGGUGAAUGAAGCUGGCAAUAAAAAACCCAGGCCAAAACUGUGAACUGGAGAGCUG